UAGGCGUGUCACUGCGUGUCACA
rnacentral:miRNA from 5 species